GACCGUCAGGAUGAUGGCGAAAGAAAAAAAAUAAAACAAGAAGUACAGGGCCAGUCAAUUAAGUCACUGCCACAGUAUCCAAGAGUCAGGCGGCUACUAGCUGACGCCGGCAAGUCCAGCUCAGAGGUGCGUGACGGUGAGAAUGGGGGCGUGUGUAUGUGUAAGAGAGAGAGAGAGAGAGAGAGAGAGAGAGAGAGAGAGAGAGAGAAGGGGGGUUGAAGGGAAGGGAGAGUAUAAUGGUAUUCAUAUUGUUGGAUCAUGAUGAGCGACAAUACUGCUACACUCGUCCGCCGCACGACACCCAUACGUCCACCCAUAUCACACCCUCACGCACACCCUCACAUCCAUUUCGUGACCUCCUCUCCUUGCUUCAGCUUCCAAUUACUAAACGCGACACGAUCUGCGCGCUUGGAAGUGAGGAGAGCUUGACAGCAAGACACGCGCGCGCACGCACGCAGGCAUGCACGCACGCACACACACACACACACACACACACACACACGUUUAUUUUGAGCUGUGCGGUAAUACUCUCUCUCUCUCUCUCUCUCUCUCUCUCUCUCUCUCAAGGGUAAUAUGGUCGAGAAGACUCUUGGUUUUACCUGUCGAUUCAGGGACAGUUGGUUGUACUGUACCAGAGCGAGAGAGAGAGAGAGAGAGAGAGAGAGAGAGAGAGAGAGAGAGAGAGAGAGAGAGAGAGAGAGAGAGAGAGAGAGAGAGAGAGAGAGAGAGAGAGAGAGAGAGAGAGAGAGAGAGAGAGA